GAUGAACGCUGGCGGCAUGCCUAACACAUGCAAGUUGGACGGGGAGCGGUGUCUUCAGUGGCGGCAGGGCGAGGAACGCGUAAGAAACUGCUCUUGGAAGUGGCCCAACAACUGGAACAGGUUGCUAAUACCCCGGAGGAUAACGAGCAAGAGGAGGAAUCUGCCCGUGGGGGGGCAGGCGACUGAUUAGCCACCUGGUGGGGUAAUAGCUGACCAAGGCGAUGAUCAGUAGGUGGUCCGAGCGAAUGAUCAGCCACACUGGGACGGAGACACGGCCCAGGGUACGACGGGAGACAGCAGUGGGGAGUAUGCCGCAAUGCGCGAAAGCCUGACGGGGCAAUGCCGCGUGGAGGUAGAAGGCCCAGGGGUCAUGGACUUCUGUUCUCGGAGAAGAAACAAUGACGGUAUCUGAAGAAGAAGCAUCGGCUAACUCUGUG
rnacentral:rRNA from 1 species